ensembl:lncRNA
GUCACAGACAACGGGGGCGGGGCUUAAGCUCGGACAGAUCAAAGGCCUUUGCAACGUCACAUCAAAGGCCUUUGCAACGUCACAACAAAGGUGCUUCGAAGGAGCUCCCAAAUAGCAUAAAUAGAGCCUUGGCGACACUCUACACCAGUGCACUCCAAAGUUGGUCCGUCUAAAGUAUCGCUGAGUCUAAAAUACUGCUGAAAGUCAACCGUUAUUAAAUAUGUCUCACGUUUAUGGUAGAGCUAACGAUCACGUUUCCCGUGCAAAGGUUUGCACAACUGAAGAAUUGCGGGCUGAAAAAGAAGCCACAAAAAAGGAGAAAAAAUGCGUCAGGUUUGCAACGCUCCCAUCACUCCACAACGGCUGGGAGCACACAAUCCGACCAACGACAGAGAGAGUGCGGGACGUACAAAGGCUUAUCACACAUUUGAUUUCCAUGUGUGACAACUGCAAGUGUCCAGAGUGAGGACAGACUGAGGGAGCCACUGCUGCACAUCACCUGUGAGGCUUUGCACCCCUGAUGAUCCACCAGGACAAACUCAGCAGUGUGUGAGGAAGAGGAGGAGGAAGAUCCAGCAGCAGCUGACAGAUGGAGAGAAUAGACAGACUGUUCCCUGUUUGUGAAGGACUGCUAGGAAAGUUAAAAAUAACUAAUUGCCUGUCCUGAAUCAGUCUCAUUAGCUAUCUUUUACGGUGUGGUCUGCUGGGGCGGCAACAUCUCUGCUGCAACAGGAAGAAACUGAACAGGCUGAUUCGAAGGGCCAGCUCUGUUGUAGGAUGCCCUCUGGACUCAGUGGAGGUGGUGAGUGACAGGAGAAUGUUUGAAUGGUUAAGCUUUCAUCCCUGUUGGACAACAUCUCCCACUCCAUGCAGGAGAAUCUGACAGCUCCUUCAGUGGCAGGCUGCGGCACCCACGGAGAGGUUUCGCAGGUCUUUCCUCCCCACUGCUAUCAGACUCUACAACAAAGACUUUUGCAGCUGAUCAAACCCACACGUGCAAUAAGACUGCUAUAAGUGCAAUUCUUUUUCUGACAAAGUUGUACUUUUGUAUUUUCUUACUCAGCUGUAUAUAGCAUUUGUAUUCUAUUGUGUUCUAUUGUAUAUAUUAUUCUAUUUCAUUAUUUUGUUAUAGUUUUAUCUUAUCUUAUCUUAUUGUAUAUAGUAUUUUAUUUUAUUUUAUUCCAUUCCAGUGUUUUCUAAUUUCUGCUACAUAACUUUGCACUUUUGCUGUAACGAAACAAAUUUCCCACCUGUGGGACUAAUAAAUAGAAUAGAAUAGAAUUCAACUUUAUUGUCAUUGCACAUGCACAGGUACAGGGCAACGAAAUGCAGUUUACAUCCAUCCAGAAUUGCUUUAGUGAUAUAGAUAUAUUACAAUAUAUAUUAGCAAUAAUAUAGAUAUGUAAGUAUAUUACAGAAAUGGGUCUAUUAUGGUAUGUUAUAAUGUACAUGGUAUGAAGUAUGUUGUGAAUAUUCUAUAACUAUAAGUAUGUACAGGCUGUAGUGAGUACAAGCUAUGUACAGGCUAUGAACAGGAUAUAAAUAUGAAAAACUAUACGGAAUAUGAAAUAAAUAACUUUACAGAAAUCUGAGAUAUACAGCUAUACAGAAAUGGGAACUAUGCAAGUUGUAAACAGUUGUAGG